rnacentral:lncRNA from 1 species
GACAAAGUGUGCGUUGAUUUUUCGUUGGCGUGGUUCGCGGCAUGGAUCAGUGAGGAGGAGUACAAUUCAUCGAAGAGAAUGACAAAAUAACUGUGGCGUCCGUUCCUCUGUUGUGGUUCGUCGUGAGUAUGAAACAACGGCGUGUGGCCAAGUGAAAUGUCUGGGGCUGACAUCUUGUCCCGUGCACCAGACCCUGACUGACCUUCAUUCAGAGCAUCAAGUUUGCAAAAAUGCACCUUCGACGCUCAGCUGCUAAGGUCGUGAUCG